AUAUGGUUCAUCUCAAAGCCCUUUACCCUUUGGAGCCAGGCCUGUUCGAUUUUACAAAUAGCACGUUUUGCUUGUAGUCAGGUAGGUAUUGAUGGUUUGUGCUUCCUUAGGGAGCAUAUUUAGAUGGCCACUAAAUGAUGAACAAUGUAAAUGACAAGCAUAUGGCUGAGUUGCAAUGAUGUCAUCUUACUACUGAAGUGGGCUGAAGAAAGAAGGUGCUGAGGUGGCUGUGAUUACAUUUAAAAAUGACAUUGUUUCUCUGUUUCCAGGGUGCUGUGACAACAUGAAAAGUUCAAGCUACCUCCCAGGAUGAGUGCAGGUUUUCCUGGUGACAAAUCUCAGGCAUUCAAAGGUUAGUUAGGUUAUUUUGGAUGGGGUUUGUUCACUAGGUUUGCUGUUUCUAUGAUGAAUCAAACUAGCUCACUAUGACUGCUAAUGAAAACACAGGAACACCUGAGAAACCAAAGGGUAGUGUGGGGGCAAGGGCGCUUAUAUCCAGCCUUUUCAAGGUUUGUUAUUUUUCUCCAGGUUCUGUUAGCAGUGCCAUACUUGGGUUUACAGAGAUGGUGUGUCUGACUGAGAGCAAAGGAGCCAUACCA
ensembl:processed_transcript